UCUCAGUUUUUAAAUAAUUCGCGAGAUAGAAGGUCGCACAAGCCAUUGGGUGUCGUCGAGUCGAGUUUGCGAUCCGUUCUUUUUGCGCGGAAUUCGCUCAGAUCGGGCGCUGAUAACCUCUGUCGCGAGUUCUAAUCUGAGAGUUGGUUUGUCACCUGCAUGCAAAGGUUGCGCAGCGAUUCGGGCGAGUUUCAGUGACUCACUUGUACCCACAUAUUGUGCCUGUUUUGUGUAGUGAGUUUUUAUCAGUUGGUGGGAAGCUUAAAUAUACACCCAUGUGAAUGCUAUGAAUCUAUGUACCCAAGUGGAAACUCAUCAAGAGGAAGUACGUCAACUACACACCAGAGAAAAGUCGAUUUGAGGAAAUGGAAAAUACGUCUUGUGUAAACUCAUCGGAUGCGGAUACUUGUUAAAAUAAUGUGCAUUUUAGAUGAUGAAUAUUGAAAGUGGCGCAGUUGUAAUCUACAAAUGUGUUCGUGAUUUAAGCAAGUCAGAAACGGAUGAAGUUUUGAGUGCGUAUGUGCUAAAAAAUUGUAUUCAAACGAAACCAAAUGAACGAUAGUGGAAGCACAGAAGAAAAAUCGCAGGAGAGUUCAGACGAUGAAGAUUCUCAUCAUUGUGUGGUAUUCGACAGCCAAAAAUUUGUGAGCCAUAAGUAGCGGCUGUAAGCAUAUCGAAAUGUGAACAGAUCGUAAAUCCCGCUAUGUGAUUGAGUUUAUUGUGAUAUAAAGUGUUUAAAGAUCCCAAAAAUAAACAAAUAUUUCUGUUGCGAGUCGCUCAAGUGUGGUAAUUAAUUAAACAAAAAGAGAAAACCAGAAGCCUGAAAAAUGUUCUCGUCGAAUGUGGAUGCAAAAAAGACGACGAACUGGUUCUCGUCACUUCGUCGUCAACCAAAACCCAAGAAGACAGCGCUGGUCGCUGAAAAAUUGACCCAGAAGAGUUGUGUUGAUUUAACUUCGGGUAGUCUGUUUAACAGUGAAGACAGCUCUAGUCAGUCCCAAGGAGCGGCCGACAGUAGUCCAGCGGACGACCCGUUGAGCAAUCCUGCCGCAAAAAGAUCUAUCUGCACAUGUGAGUGGGUGAAAGUUACACCAUCGCCUUCAUUUUCUUCCGAUUCGCCAGAAUCCUCCUCGAGUACCUCAGCCACAAUUAGCACAACAGUGUCGAGAAGUCUACGGGAGAACAAAUACCAUCUGCUUCCAACCGCCCUCUUCG